AGAGGCAUAGCUGGGUCAUAUGGUGGUUCCAUUCCUAGUUUUUUGAGGAAUCUCCAUACUGCUUUCUAGAGUGGUUUUACUAAUUUGCAUUCCCAUCAACAAU
rnacentral:pre_miRNA from 1 species